rnacentral:tRNA from 1 species
UGGGGUAAAGCUCAGUUGGUAGAGUGUUUGCCUCACAUACACAAAGCCUGGGUUCAAUCCCCAACACCACAA